rnacentral:rRNA from 1 species
AGUGAACGCUGGCGGUAGGCCUAACACAUGCAAGUCGAACGGCAGCACAGUAAGAGCUUGCCCUUACGGGUGGCGAGUGGCGGACGGGUGAGGAAUACAUCGGAACCUACUUUUUCGUGGGGGAUAAUGUAGGGAAACUUACGCUAAUACCGCAUACGACCUACGGGUGAAAGCAGGGGAUCUUCGGACCUUGCGCGAUUGAAUGAGCCGAUGUCGGAUUCGCUAGUUGGCGGGGUAAAGGCCCACCAAGGCGACGAUCCGUAGCUGGUCUGAGAGGAGGAUCAGCCACACUGGAACUGAGACGCGGUCCAGGCUCCUGCGGGAGGCGGCAGUGGGGAAUAUUGGGCAAUGGGCGCAAGCCUGGUCCAGCCGUACCGCGUGGGUGAAGAAGGCCUUCGGGUUGUAAAGCCCUUUUGUUGGGAAAGAAAAGCAGCAGGUUAAUACCCCGCUGUUCUGACGGUACCCAAAGAAUAAGCACCGGCUAACUUCGUG